rnacentral:rRNA from 1 species
GACGAACGCUGGCGGCGUGCUUAACUCAUGCAAGUCGAACGGAAAGGCCCUGCUUUUGUGGGGUGCUCGAGUGGCGAACGGGUGAGUAACACGUGAGUAACCUGCCCUUGACUUUGGGAUAACUUCAGGAAACUGGGGCUAAUACCGGAUAGGAUCUCCUGCUGCAUGGUGGGGGAUGGAAAGUUUCGGCGGUUGGGGAUGGACUCGCGGCUUAGCAGCUUGAUGGUGUGGUAGGGGCUUACCAAGGGUAUGACGGGUAGCCGGCCUGGGAGGGGGACCGGCGACAUGAGGACUGAGGUACGGACCAGAAUCCAACGGGAGGCAGCAGUGGAGAAUAUUGCACAAUGGGCGGAAGCCUGAUGCAGCAACGCCGCGUGCGGGAUGACGGCCUUCGGGUUGUAAACAGCUGUCGCCUGUGACGAAGCGUGAGUGACGGUAAUGGGUAAAGAAGCACCGGCUAACUACGUG